rnacentral:rRNA from 1 species
UACAGGGGGUGCAACAGUUGCUCGGAAUCAUUGGGCGUAAAGCGCACGUAGGCGGUUCGUUAUGUCGGAUGUGAAAGCCCUUGGCUUAACCGAGGAAGUGCAUCCGAAACUGGCGAGCUAGAGUACGAAAGAGGAUCGCGGAAUUCCCGGUGUAGAGGUGAAAUUCGUAGAUAUCGGGAGGAACACCGGUGGCGAAGGCGGCGAUCUGGGUCGAUACUGACGCUGAGGUGCGAAAGCGUGGGGAGCAAACAGG